UACGUAGGUGGCAAGCGUUGUCCGGAAUUAUUGGGCGUAAAGCGCGCGCAGGCGGCUUCUUAAGUCUGAUGUGAAAUCUCGGGGCUCAACCCCGAGCGGCCAUUGGAAACUGGGAGCUUGAGUACAGAAGAGGAGGGUCGAAUUCCACGUGUAGCGGUGAAAUGCGUAGAUAUGUGGAGGAACACUAGUGGCGAAGGCGACUCUCUGGUCUGUAACUGACGCUGAGGCGCGAAAUCGUGGGGAGCAAACAGG
rnacentral:rRNA from 1 species